AUUAACCCAUAAAGACCCGGUCAUUUUUUUUUUCUUUUUUUAAUUGAUUUAACGUCCUUUAUUAUCAAAUAAUUCUCCAUAUUUUUGCAUUUUUCCUGU